rnacentral:rRNA from 1 species
GAUGAACGCUGGCGGCGUGCCUAAUACAUGCAAGUCGAGCGAACGGAUAAGGAGCUUGCUCCUUUGAAGUUAGCGGCGGACGGGUGAGUAACACGUGGGUAACCUACCUAUAAGACUGGAAUAACUUCGGGAAACCGGAGCUAAUGCCGGAUAACAUUUGGAACUGCAUGGUUCUAAAGUAAAAGAUGGUUUUGCUAUCACAUAUAGAUGGACCCGCGCCGUAUUAGCUAGUUGGUAAGGUAACGGCUUAUCAAGGCAACGAUGCGUAGCCGACCUGAGAGGGUGAUCGGCCACAAUGGAACUGAGACACGGUCCAGACUCCUACGGGAGGCAGCAGUAGGGAAUCUUCCGCAAUGGACGAAAGUCUGACGGAGCAACGCCGCGUGAGUGAUGAAGGUUUUCGGAUCGUAAAACUCUGUUAUUAGGGAAGAACAAAUGUGUAAGUAACUGUGCACAUCUUGACGGUACCUAAUCAGAAAGCCACGGCUAACUACGUGCCAGCCGCCGCAGUAA